rnacentral:lncRNA from 1 species
ACCAGGGAUGCACCCUUGUCUCGGUGUCGGGAAUGCGGACUAACCUGCUGAUUACUAAAGGAAAGGGCGGAUUUCUCAGUACUCCCUCUGGAGUGGAGCACCGUAGUUACUGCUGUAUGGAACGCAGGUUUAGAGUGCUAGGAUUACGGGCAUGUACCUACCACCACGCUCAGCAGAGCAUCGAUUUUUAUCCAGGAUAAAGGGCGCAAGGGACACAUGAUCCAGGGGGCAGUGUAAUUAUCAACUAUUCCAGAGAACCCAAGGAAAUGCAGGACCACCCAACGCUCAAAUAGACUUUCCCACCAGAGAUGAGACUGUGAGGAGGUAUAAGUCACAAGGACAGCUGCGUAAUCCUGACAAAAUGACUGAAAACAAAAAAUGUCCAGAACAACCAGGGAAAAGGAAGGCUCUUGUGUUAGAGGCUUGAUCCUCUGCUGGUGAUGAACGCUACUGAGCGGAGACUGGAUCAUGAGCAUGCUAGCCUCAUCAAUGGAUCCAUCCAUUGGUCAGUUCCUUGCUAAAUGGGGGUGGAGCCAGGUUAAAGGGUCAACGGGGCUAGUC